CCUACGGGAGACUGCAGUCGAGAAUCAUUCACAAUGGGGGAAACCCUGAUGGUGCGACGCCGCGUGGGGGAAUGAAGGUCUUCGGAUUGUAAACCCCUGUCAGGUGGGAGCAAAUGAAAAAGAUAGUACCACAAGAGGAAGAGACGGCUAACUCUGUGCAAGCAGCCGCGGUAAUACAGAGGUCUCAAGCGUUGUUCGGAAUCACUGGGCGUAAAGCGUGCGUAGGCUGUUUCGUAAGGCGUGUGUGAAAGGAGAGGGCUCAACCCGCGGACGGCACAUGAUACUGCGAGACUAGAGUAAUGGAGGGGGAACCGGAAUUCUCGGUGUAGCAGUGAAAUGCGUAGAUAUCGAGAGGAACACUCGUGGCGAAGGCGGGUUCCUGGACAUUAACUGACGCUGAGGCACGAAGGCCAGGGGAGCGAAAGGGAUUAGAUACCCCUGUAGUC
rnacentral:rRNA from 1 species